UUAGAUGAAGCCAAAAUAGAGGCAAUUUACUGUUAAUGAAUGAAAUGAAAUUUAUUUUCCAUCUAAA
rnacentral:tRNA from 1 species